UAACACGUGGUGACCUGCCCUUAGCUCUGGGAUAAGCCUGGGAAACUGGGUCUAAUACCGGAUAUGACUCCAUGACGCAUGUUGUGGGGUGGAAAGCCUUGUGCGGCUAGGGAUGGGCCCGCGGCCUAUCAGCUUGUUGGUGGGGUGAUGGCCUACCAAGGCGACGACGGGUAGCCGGCCUGAGAGGGCGACCGGCCACACUGGGACUGAGACACGGCCCAG
rnacentral:rRNA from 1 species